UACGUAGGUGACAAGCGUUAUCCGGAGUUACUGGGCGUAAAGAGUGCGUAGGCGGACCUGUAAGUGGGUGGUGAAAGCGCCCGGCUAAACCGGGCGAGGUUCAUUCAGACUGCAGGUCUAGAGGCGGAUAGAGGGGUGCGGAAUUCCGGGUGUAGCGGUGAAAUGUGUAGAGAUCCGGAGGAACACCAGUGGUGCAAACGGCGCCCUGGGUCCGAACUGACGCUGAAGCACGAAAGCGUGGGGAGCGAACGGG
rnacentral:rRNA from 1 species